rnacentral:rRNA from 1 species
GGAUUAGAUACCCGGGUAGUCCCAGCUGUAAACGAUACGGGCUAGGUUUGGGCCGGCCACGAGCCGGUUCAGUGCCGAAUGGAAGCAAAUAAGCCCGUCGCCUGGGGAGUACGGCCGCAAGGCUGAAACUUAAAGGAAUUGGCGGGGGAGCACCACAAGGGGUGUAAGCUCGGUUCAAUUGGAGUCAACGCCGGGAACCUUACCAGGGGCGACAGCAGGAUGAAGGUCAGACUGAAGAUCUUGCCGGACAAGCUGAGAGGAGGUGCAUGGCCGUCGCCAGUUCGUCCGUGAGGUGUCCUGUCAAGUCAGGCAACGAGCGAGACCCCCAUCCUUAGUUGCUACCGGGUUCCUACGGGACCUGGGCACACUAAGGAGACCGCCACCGAUAAGGUGGAGGAGGGAGGGGGCCACGGCAGGUCAGUAUGCCCCGAAUCUCUGGGCCACACGCGGCUUACAAUGGCAGGGACAAUGGGUUCCGACCUCGAGAGGGGGAGG